rnacentral:rRNA from 1 species
UACGAAGGGGGCUAGCGUUGUUCGGAAUCACUGGGCGUAAAGCGUGCGCAGGCGGCUUUGCAAGACAGAUGUGAAAUCCCCGGGCUUAACCUGGGAACUGCAUUUGUGACUGCAUGGCUAGAGUGCGGCAGAGGGGGAUGGAAUUCCGCGUGUAGCAGUGAAAUGCGUAGAUAUGCGGAGGAACACCGAUGGCGAAGGCAAUCCCCUGGGCCUGCACUGACGCUCAUGCACGAAAGCGUGGGGAGCAAACAGG